GAUGAACGCUGGCGGCGUGCCUAAUACAUGCAAGUCGAGCGAACAGACGAGGAGCUUGCUCCUCUGACGUUAGCGGCGGACGGGUGAGUAACACGUGGAUAACCUACCUAAGAGACUGGGAUAACUUCGGGAAACCGGAGCUAAUACCGGAUAAUAUAUUGAACCGCAUGGUUCAAUAGUGAAAGACGGUUUUGCUGUCACUUAUAGAUGGAUCCGCGCCGCAUUAGCUAGUUGGUAAGGUAACGGCUUACCAAGGCAACGAUGCGUAGCCGACCUGAGAGGGUGAUCGGCCACACUGGAACUGAGACACGGUCCAGACUCCUACGGGAGGCAGCAGUAGGGAAUCUUCCGCAAUGGGCGAAAGCCUGACGGAGCAACGCCGCGUGAGUGAUGAAGGUCUUCGGAUCGUAAAACUCUGUUAUUAGGGAAGAACAAAUGAGUAAGUAACUAUGCACGUCUUGACGGUACCUAAUCAGAAAGCCACGGCUAACUACGUG
rnacentral:rRNA from 1 species